rnacentral:rRNA from 1 species
GACGAACCGUGCGAACGUUUGUUCGGAAUCACUGGGCUUAAAGGGCGCGUAGGCGGCUCGCGAGGUCGGGGGUGAAAUCCCACGGCUUAACCGUGGAAGUGCCUUCGAUACCGGCGGGCUGGAGGAAGGUAGGGGUGCGCGGAACUUCUGGUGGAGCGGUGAAAUGCGUUGAUAUCAGAAGGAACGCCGGCGGCGAAAGCGGCGCACUGGACCUUUUCUGACGCUGAGGCGCGAAAGCCAGGGGAGCAAACAGG